rnacentral:rRNA from 1 species
AAGAUGCAGUGUACCCGCGGCAAGACGGAAAGACCCCGUGAACCUUUACUAUAGCUUGACACUGAACAUUGAGCCUUGAUGUGUAGGAUAGGUGGGAGGCUUUGAAGUGUGGACGCCAGUCUGCAUGGAGCCGACCUUGAAAUACCACCCUUUAAUGUUUGAUGUUCUAACGUUGACCCGUAAUCCGGGUUGCGGACAGUGUCUGGUGGGUAGUUUGACUGGGGCGGUCUCCUCCUAAAGAGUAACGGAGGAGCACGAAGGUUGGCUAAUCCUGGUCGGACAUCAGGAGGUUAGUGCAAUGGCAUAAGCCAGCUUGACUGCGAGCGUGACGGCGCGAGCAGGUGCGAAAGCAGGUCAUAGUGAUCCGGUGGUUCUGAAUGGAAGGGCCAUCGCUCAACGGAUAAAAGGUACUCCGGGGAUAACAGGCUGAUACCGCCCAAGAGUUCAUAUCGACGGCGGUGUUUGGCACCUCGAUGUCGGCUCAUCACAUCCUGGGGCUGAAGUAGGUCCCAAGGGUAUGGCUGUUCGCCAUUUAAAGUGGUACGCGAGCUGGGUUUAGAACGUCGUGAGACAGUUCGGUCCCUA